UGGGGAGGUCCGCGUACCUCUCUGAGCCUCAGUUUGCUCCUCUGAAUAAUGGGGAGAACAGAGGAACAACCACCAAGGGCUAUUGUAGGGACUCAAUGAGCUCCUGCCUGGACGGCCCUUUGGAGAAGCUGAGCCCUAUGAAAGGUCAGCUGGAUCGGCCCUCCAGGGCUCCGUGCUAGUUACAGAUUCAUCCUCUUUUGUAGAGUGGAAGACGCGCCCACCCGCCUAUGGAAAAAGGCCUUGGCCUUCAUUCUCAGCAUGUGGAUGGAAUCCUAUCCCCAGUACUUUUUCCAGCCCCCAGACUUUCCGAGCUUGAGAAGGGUAUUGGCCUUCCUUGCGUUCAGCAUGCCAGGCUCGCAGGUGGAGCAUCAAGCUCGCCUUCUGCUUUCACAGUUGCUGCACCCUGAGCCCAGCGAGGCAGAGAGUCAGGGUGAGCAGGACACGGGCUGUGUGACACGGGCGUGUGUGGAGGCAAUGUGGCCGGGCCGUUCAGCACAGAGCCUUCAGAGGCUGGGGUUAGGCUGGGAGCAAUGAGCUGGCUCCCAUCACAAUUCCCACGGACUCCAGAUACGGGAGACCUUCUGGAGGGUGGUUCGUGUACUGAGUCUCCCUGAUUGGUGAGCCGUUUCCCUUCCGUGGGAGGAACAUGGAAAGACAGUCACGUUUGGUUUCCCUGUGUGUGUUUGUCCGUGUGUGUGUGUGUGUCUGUGUCUGUGUGUGUAUGUGUGUGUGUGGCAUGGUUACUUUGGGGUAUCUUUUUUUUUCACCAUUCACCCAUGUUAAUUCUUGAUUGCAGUGACAGUACUUUAUAACCUUACAUAAAUAUCAAGUGUACAGCCUUAUAUAUUUCGAUUUCUGCGUAGAUUACAGCAGGUCCCCCACCCAAAGACUAAUUACAAUCCGUCACCACACACAUGUGCCUUGUCA
rnacentral:lncRNA from 1 species